GGAAGAUCCAGCCCUGAGCAAAAGGCACUUGGAAUCGACAUGGGGGGCUCGAAUGUCCCUGUGAAACAUAAACAUAAGGAGGCAGGAGACAUGAGAUGCAGCCGGCUCUGACCCCAAAGAGCCAUGGGACCUGACCACCUGGGAGGAGCUGGAGGACAAAGGACUUCACAGAAGAAUGGAGUCCCAAAGAAACAGCUUCAGGAACUGAGGAGAGCCAGAAAUUUAAUGUAUUUAGGGCUCCCUUGUGAAAACACAAAAACAAAAAUAAAAAUGCCUCCCGC
rnacentral:lncRNA from 1 species